GGGGCUCACGCCCACCGCCGCGGCCGAGCCCCCGCCGCCUGCGCCGAGCCCCCCCCGCGGCGCUGCCCUCGCAUGAAACGGCGCCGGGCACCGGCGGCGGCGGCGGGGCAGGGGCGCUGCGCUGGAGCGGGGUGCUGCGAGCCAGACAAAGAUAACCGGGGAGGAGGCGGCGGAGGAGGAGGCGGCGGAGGAGGAGGAGAAAAGGGACACAAAAUACACCGCGAGCGCAGAGGGAGCGAGGCAGAGAGAGAAAACAGCUCCCCCUUCCCUUCUCCAACAGGAAAAACCGGCGGAAACGCACGCGCACCAAAGCACUUCUGGAAACCUGCAGUCCUAAGAAGGCAAAUGAUUUCAAAUGGGCUUGAUGCUGGGUCUGUCUGAGUGUAUCUACACAUACUAGGAUCAGGCAUAGGUAUGCUGUAGGUUUUAAAGUUAGCUUUCCACAGAAAGUUAUUAUCAAUGGCUUCAUUUGCAUUACUUGGCUUGUUUAACUCUUUUGUCUUUUUUAUGCAUGAAAGUAGCCUUGGCUGGUCAGACCAAAUUGUCCGUGUCUGGAAACACAUCCUGUCUCGAAAUGUAGCUAGUGGUGAAUGGUGAAGGAAGAGCAGAAGAAUAGCAUACUGGUCUCAUGAUGCUUCCCUGGGGCAUCGUCCCAGCUCCCAGCUGCGUGUGGCUCAGGGGAUUCCACAGUAGGAUUUGGUGUCACUGUGUUUGAUAGUUUUUGAUGAUUUUUUCUUCCAUUAAAUUACUUUGUGAAUUUG